AACGAACGUUGGCGGCGUGGAUUAGGCAUGCAAGUCGAGCGGGUGUAGUAAUACAUCAGCGGCGAAAGGGAGAGUAACGCGUAGUUACGUGCCCCGAGGUCCAGAAUAGCUACGGGAAACUGUAGGUAAUGCUGGAUGAUAUCUCCGGAUCAACGGUGUGAUUCCGCCUCGGGAGCGGACUGCGUCCUACUAGCUGGUUGGCGGGGGAAUGGCCAACCAAGGCGACGAUGGGUAGCGGGUGUGAGAGCAUGACCCGUCUCCAUGGACUGAGACACUGCCCAGACACCUACGGGUGGCUGCAGGCGAGAAUCUUCGGCAAUGGGCGCAAGCUUGACCGAGCGACGCCGCGUGCGGGAUGAAGGCCUUCGGGUUGUAAACCGCUUUCGGUUGGGAGGAAAUCGCUAGGGGUUCUCCCCUAGUGUUGACCUAUCUUCGGAAGAAGGACGGGCUAAGUUCGUGCCAGCAGCCGCCGUAAGAC
rnacentral:rRNA from 1 species